rnacentral:rRNA from 1 species
AACGNGGAGCAAAGUCAUGCAGGCAGGUAGNGUACUANNUCAGGUNGANUAGCGGAGCGAGACGAGACCAAAGAGCUAGUANGNCGUGCGAGNGAAGGGUCGAGCGACCGCCGAGGCUGCAGUGCAGACAGCCCCGGAACCAGGCGCCCGCCGGAGGGACCAACCAAACUCUUUACUGUANUCCCCUCGCGGACGUUAUUUCUGUACAGCUCUAGAGCAAAAAUUCAAAAUGAAUCAACAACUAUUAGCAACAACAGGAUCUACUUGGUUCUAGGCAAUCAGAUAGAAGAACGCAGCGAAAUGCGAUAAGUAAAUGUGAAUUGCAGAAUUACAGUGAAUACAUCGAAUCUUUGAAUCAGCACAUUAGCGCCCGACCAGUAUUCUUAGGCGGAGCAUGCCAUGUCCAGAGACGUCAUUAUCAACCCAUCGAACCCCAUCCGGGAGUGAGUCAGGCAGUUGGGGACCUCAGAGGAAGCCCCAUAAAGACAGAGGAUCCCAGGCCCCGAUAAAUACAAGUAGGCAAGGUCUCAGCACAGCAAGCCUCAUCCAUAGCAGCAAGUAAGUUUAGCACAACUCGCACCAGGGAGCAGCAGGCAAGCGUCCACGUCACAGUAAAACACCCAACUUCUGAAAUGUUGACCUACGGAUCAGAGUAGGAAUACCCUGCUGA